GAGAAGGGAGAGCCCCGAGAAACAGAGGGAGGGAAGAAUGGACAGAAGAGACACUGCGAACGUGGGAGGGCGAAACAAGAAACCGUCAUCCAGGUGGUGAAGUCUGGGAAAAGCAAGCCAAGAACCCACGUGCACCCCCGGAGGCGAGCAGGCCUGGCAGGAGGAGCGCCAGAGGAGAGGCGAGCCUGGAGGCCACGUCCAGCUCGCACGCAAGGCCAGAAGGAGAAGCGGCCCUGGGCAGGCUGGACGAGGCUCACCCCGACCCUUGGCCUUCUCGGGCGGCCGACGGACUUCCAAGGGGUGAAGCCGAGCCGGCGGAUCGUCCGGGAAGUCCCUUCUGGGGCGGCCGGGCAGCAGAGGCCUCCGUCCGAGCGUGUCCUUGGCAGUGCAGUGGGGAGCCGCGCCCCAGCCCUGGCCCGGCGGUGCCUGGAGCAAGUCCUUCCCGUCUGCCUGCCGGCUUCUUCCUCUGUAACAUGGCGCCACCGUAGAGUGGCCGGGCAGGUGGCCCGGGGUGGGCGCUGUGCAGUGUGCCUGGUUCCCGCGGCCGUCGUCCAUCAGCUUGGUGCCGCUCUCGUGGGCAUCCGCCGCCCGCAUCCGGGGACGUUCAGACUCGGAGGGUCUCCCUGCGGUGCUGCCCUUCGGGGGAGCUCCUGGGCUCCACCAAGCAGGCUGAAGAUCGGGGGGAGCCGGCCCCGCCCCCCCCCUUUACCUCUCCGUCUUGGCCUGGCACGUGGGGUGCUUCUCGGGGUUUCUGCGCUGAGCAGAGGCACCCCUGCCCCGGUUGGGGGGACACGCCUACGGAGAGCCAGUGACGUCUGGCGGCACGAGAGGGAGCCCCACACCCGAGUGGGGGGGCUGUUGGGAGACGAGCUCGGAGCUUGUGCUUCCCCCAUGGAGAAGCCUUGCAGGCGCCACGUGGGGAGGACGCUGGAAGAGGAGCCCCACGAAGUGAGGUGGGGGAGGGGUGCCGAGCCCCCCAGUCUGCGAGCAGAACUGAAAAGACGUCCCCAGAGCGUUUGGCUUCAGGAUGGACCGAAGGCCAAAGGCCGCCUUGUGGGGCUCUCCAAGGACCAGCGUGUCAGGCGAGAAAGGACAGAAGAGGCCGUGCGGCCGCCGCGCUUCAGCCCGCAGAGCCACCCCCUUCCAGGCAGGGAGCCCCGGAGGGCGAGGGGCCGCCUCAUCCCUCUUCUUGGGGGGAGGGGGGGGAGGGGCAGAGCCAGGCUCCCCGGGGUGCACCUGCCGCCGUCCCCCACAGGAGCUCCCCGAGUGGAGCGCUUUCAUUGCCAAAACAAUCAGUUCCGUGAAAAGUAG
rnacentral:lncRNA from 1 species